GCACAGUCACACUUGGUUUCACCCGUGUGGCUUUCGUAAAGGGGAUUAGAGAGCAAAGAUCCCCUCGGGACCCAGGAGUGGCCUCAUGUGGCUUCUCUUCCCUCGAGGGGUGCAACAGGC
rnacentral:snoRNA from 1 species